rnacentral:rRNA from 1 species
GUCCACGCCGUAAACGUUGGGCGCUAGGUGUGGGGGCCAUUCCACGGUCUCCGUGCCGCAGCUAACGCAUUAAGCGCCCCGCCUGGGGAGUACGGCCGCAAGGCUAAAACUCAAAGGAAUUGACGGGGGCCCGCACAAGCGGCGGAGCAUGUUGCUUAAUUCGAUGCAACGCGAAGAACCUUACCUAGGCUUGACAUGCACGGAAAUCUGUCAGAGAUGGCAGGUCCUUUAUCGGGUCGUGCACAGGUGGUGCAUGGUUGUCGU